AAGAAGUCAGGCCGGUUUAAGCCAUAGUACGGUAAGAGCUAUGCUGCCUGUGAGCCCCGUCCAAGGACGUAAAAUGAAGUCAGGCCGAAAGCCACGGCUUGAGCAAACCGUGCUGCCUGUGGCUCCAUCGUGGGGAUGUAAAAACCCGGGAGGCUGCAACCCAUGGAAGCUGUACGCAUGGGGUAGCAGACUAGUGGUUAGAGGAGACCCCUCCCAAAAUACAACGCAGCAGCGGGGCCCAACACCAGGGGAAGCUGUACCCUGGUGGUAAGGACUAGAGGUUAGAGGAGACCCCCCGCACAACAAUAAACAGCA
rnacentral:lncRNA from 1 species